UACGUAGGGUGCGAGCGUUAUCCGGAUUUACUGGGCGUAAAGCGUCUGUAGGCUGAAUAGUAAGUGUUGGGUUAAAAACCGUGGCUUAACCACGGGCCAGCUUGACAUACUGCUAUUCUAGAGUGUGUUCGGGGAGGUUGGAAUUCUCGGUGGAGGGGUGAAAUCCGUUGAUAUCGAGAGGAACGCCAAGGGUGAAGACAGGCCUCUAGAACAUUACUGACGCUGAGAGACGAAAGCUAGGGUAGCAAACCGG
rnacentral:rRNA from 1 species